AACGAACGCUGGCGGCAGGCUUAACACAUGCAAGUCGAACGCCCCGCAAGGGGAGUGGCAGACGGGUGAGUAACGCGUGGGAACGUACCUUUCGCUUCGGAAUAUUCCCGGGAAACUGGGAGCAAUGCCGAAUACGCCGUAUUGGGAAAGAUUUAUCGGCGAAAGAUCGGCCCGCGUUAGAUUAGGUAGUUGGCGGUGUAAUGGACCACCAAGCCUACGAUCUAUAGCUGGUCUGAGAGGAUGAUCAGCCACACUGGGACUGAGACACGGCCCAGAAUCCUACGGGAGGCAGCAGUGGGGAAUCUUGGACAAUGGGCGCAAGCCUGAUCCAGCCAUGCCGCGUGAGUGAAGAAGGCCUUAGGGUUGUAAAACUCUUUCGCCGGAGAAGAUAAUGACGGUAUCCGGAGAAGAAGCCCCGGCUAACUUCGUGCCAGCCGCCGCGGUAACAC
rnacentral:rRNA from 1 species